rnacentral:siRNA from 1 species
UCAGUCUAGAUUCUGUGUUUC